rnacentral:rRNA from 1 species
GGCGCUUCACACCCACCUAGAGGAGCCUGUUCUAGAACCGAUGACCCCCGUUCAACCUCACCUUCUCUUGUUCUCCCCGCCUAUAUACCGCCGUCGUCAGCCCACCCUGUGAAGGCCCAGUAGUGAGCAAAAUUGGCAAAGCCCAAAACGUCAGGCCGAGGUGUAGCGUAUGAGAAGGGAAGAAAUGGGCUACAAUUGCUUAAACAGCUAAAACGAAUUGUAACGCUGAAAAUGCAGACAUGAAGGAGGAUUUAGAAGUAAGGGGGUAAACAGAGUGUCCCCCUGAAAUGGUUCUGAAGCGUGCACACACCGCCCGUCACUCUCCCCAAGUUAGAAUAUUAUACAGUAACUAAACACUUAACCCUACAAAGGGGAGGCAAGUCGUAACAUGGUAAGUGUACCGGAAGGUGCACUUGGAAGAAAC